rnacentral:rRNA from 1 species
GUCGAGCGGACCUCUUCGGAGGUCAGCGGCGGACGGGUGAGGAACACGUGGGUAAUCUGCCUUUCAGACCGGAAUAACGCCCGGAAACGGGCGCUAAUGCCGGAUACGCCCGAUGGGAGGCAUCUUUUGUCGGGGAAAGGGCCAACCGGUCCGCUGAGAGAGGAGCCCGCGGCGCAUUAGCUGGUUGGCGGGGUAACGGCCCACCAAGGCGACGAUGCGUAGCCGGCCUGAGAGGGUGAACGGCCACACUGGGACUGAGACACGGCCCAGACUCCUACGGGAGGCAGCAGUAGGGAAUCUUCCGCAAUGGGCGCAAGCCUGACGGAGCAACGCCGCGUGAGCGAAGAAGGCCUUCGGGUUGUAAAGCUCUGUUGCUCGGGGAGAGUGGCGCGGGGAGGGGAAAGCCCUGCGCGAGACGGUACCGAGUGAGGAAGCCCCGGCUAACUACGUGCCAGCAGCCGCGGUAAAACGUAGGGGGCGAGCGUUGUCCGGAAUCACUGGGCGUAAAGGGUGCGUAGGCGGUCGAGCAAGUCUGGAGUGAAAGUCCGUGGCUCAACCAUGGGAUGGCUCUGGAAACUGCUUGACUUGAGUGCUGGAGAGGCAAGGGGAAUUCCACGUGUAGCGGUGAAAUGCGUAGAGAUGUGGAGGAAUACCAGUGGCGA